GAUGAACGCUGGCGGCGUGCYUAACACAUGCAAGUCGAACGAAGCACUUGUAUUUGAUUCUUCGGAUGAAGAUACUUGUGACUGAGUGGCGGACGGGUGAGUAACGCGUGGGUAACCUGCCUCAUACAGGGGGAUAACAGUUAGAAAUGGCUGCUAAUACCGCAUAAGCACACAGUGUUGCAUGACACAGUGUGAAAAACUCCGGUGGUAUGAGAUGGACCCGCGUCUGAUUAGCUGGUUGGUGGGGUAACGGCCUACCAAGGCGACGAUCAGUAGCCGACCUGAGAGGGUGACCGGCCACAUUGGGACUGAGACACGGCCCAAACUCCUACGGGAGGCAGCAGUGGGGAAUAUUGCACAAUGGGGGAAACCCUGAUGCAGCGACGCCGCGUGAGCGAAGAAGUAUUUCGGUA
rnacentral:rRNA from 1 species